UCAUCUCCUUGAAAUUUAAUUCUUACAUGGAUUUCCCAGUCAUUAAUUCUUAAUUAAUUAUUAAGUAACCUUUAGGAUUCAUGUUUCUAACAUCUAGUAAUAUUUGUUUACUUGCCUUUGAUUCAUGUUCUUUGUUUUUAUGUUGAGUUUCUGCUUGAGAACAACACUUUUGAUGUGAACUUUCGAUUUACCACAUGUUUGCAUUUUUGUGGCAACAUAACUUGUAUUGGUAAACGCUUUUGAGCAUUGACUUGUGGUUUUAAACUCGAUUUUGGUGGAUAUCAAUUCAAAUAUAUGCUGCUGCCCGGAAAGUGUAAACAUGUUGCAAUUUGCUUUUCGAAACGGAUGAAGGCUCACUUACACUUGAUAAUAUGCUAAAAUAGGAACCGUGCGCUUAAUUUUCGUGUCCAACACUCUUAUCAGUUUGUUCUCUUAAGUGCAUCAUUGUUGAUCAAUGCUGACCCAUUAUGCAAAUUAUGCAGGUUAACCGAUGGUUGUAAAUUUGUGGUUAUAAGCUUUGGUAUGAGAUUCGAAUAUUCUUCGGAGGACCUGACGAUAGUGAAGCGCUUGCUUACGGUAUGAGAAUAGUCGAACAUCCUGACAUUGUGCUAACUGUUGUUAAAUUUGUGUCUCCACCCGGAACAACAUUAUCAUUCGACGCUAAGUUAGUCGGUGUUGCAUCGGUAGAAUAUACUAUGUUAGGAAGAAUGUAAAUAGGUUAACUGGUGAUUGUAUGUUAUCAUUUCAUCAUUAAUUUUUUUACUGAGGUGCUUUUGAAUUUUCA